AGAGUUUGAUCCUGGCUCAGGAUUAACGCUAGCGGCAGGCCUAAUACAUGCAAGUCGAGGGGUAACAGGGUAGCAAUACUGCUGACGACCGGCGCACGGGUGAGUAACACGUAUGCAACCUACCUAUAACUGGGGAAUAGCCUUCCGAAAGGAAGAUUAACACCGCAUAACAUCACGAGACGGCAUCGUUUUGUGAUCAAACCUCCGGGGGUUAUAGAUGGGCAUGCGUAACAUUAGCUAGUUGGUGAGGUAACGGCUCACCAAGGCGACGAUGUUUAGGGGGUCUGAGAGGAUGAUCCCCCACACUGGUACUGAGACACGGACCAGACUCCUACGGGAGGCAGCAGUAAGGAAUAUUGGACAAUGGGGGCAACCCUGAUCCAGCCAUGCCGCGUGAAGGAUGAAGGCGCUCUGCGUCGUAAACUUCUUUUAUCCGGGAAAAAUUGUUGGGUUUCUACCUGACUUGAUUGUACCGGAGGAAUAAGGACCGGCUAACUUCGUGCCGGCAGCCGCGGUAAUACGAAGGGUCCAAGCGUUAUCCGGAUUUAUUGGGUUUAAAGGGUGCGUAGGCGGGUUGUUAAGUCAGUGGUGAAAUCUAGCAGCUUAACUGUAAAAUUGCCAUUGAUACUGACGAUCUUGAGUACACUUGAAGUGGGCGGAAUAUGUCAUGUAGAGGUGAAAUUCUUAGAGAUGACAUAGAACACCGAUUGCGAAGGCAGCUCACUAAAUUGUAACUGACGCUGAGGCACGAAAGCGUGGGGAUCAAACAGGAUUAGAUACCCUGGUAGUCCACGCCCUAAACGAUGAUUACUAGAUGUGUGCAAUAUACCGUACGCGUCACAGCUAAAGCGUUAAGUAAUCCACCUGGGGAGUACGGCCGCAAGGCUGAAACUCAAAGGAAUUGACGGGGGCCCGCACAAGCGGAGGAGCAUGUGGUUUAAUUCGACUACGCGAAGAACCUUAUCCUGGUCUUGACAUGCUUGGGAACCCCGCUGAAAAGUGGGGGUGCCCUUCGGGGAGCCCUUGCACAGGUGCUGCAUGGCUGUCGUCAGCUCGUGUCGUGAGAUGUCGGGUUAAGUCCCUUAACGAGCGAAACCCUUGUCCUUAGUUGCCAGCGGGUCAUGCCGGGGACUCUAAGGAGACUGCCGGUGUUAAACCGGAGGAAGGCGGGGAUGACGUCAAGUCCUCAUGGCCUUUAUGACCAGGGCUGCACACGUCCUACAAUGGCGCGUACAAAGGGAAGCAAGACCGCAAGGUGGAGCAAAUCCCAAAAAGCGCGCCCCAGUUCAGAUUGUAGGCUGCAACCCGCCUAC
rnacentral:rRNA from 1 species